UUUACAGUUAAUGCUUUGUCCUCUUUUUAAGAAGUCUUUAAGUACCUCAAGUUUAUGAAGAUAUAAAAUGGAUGAAUAUUGAAACCCAUUCCUUCAUCUCUGACACUUGACAACCUCUAAAGCACUCAAGACACAAACUUAAAAGUGUAAAGCAAAAGAUUUGUCCUACUUUGUAGAAGGCAAAGAGAAUCAGUCAUCUCUGUAAUCCUCAAGUGCCAAGGUCAUGGUUUGCUCUGGGAGAGCCCUGUGACUAGAAAGGCCCACAUUCCACCUCACCUAGCCAGUAAUGACAAAAAAGAAACACCAGACAUUAGAAGAGCAAGUGGAAUGCUCCUCAGGAAUCACAGAACAAAAAUGAAACUCGGGGUUGUGCAAGCCCUGAACAGAAAAGAUCUGCCCCAGAGUGAGAGAAAGGAACCUCUCCCAGCUUUCUAGAGUCUUGGUGACACAUUUCCAUGACCUAUAUGGUGUGAAACCUUACUUGUUACAGUUCUUGGCAGGGAGAGGAAGGAAUAUCUUAAGCAUCAUCCAACCUCUACCUGUGCUCACACAGAAUUUGGGCAAAGAAUCAAAGUGAUUCGUAUGCAGAUUUCUGGAAUUCUUUCUCUGCCUAUCUCCCACCUGUCCUUUAAUUUGUCCUCAAUUUCAAGGUAUCUCUGCAAUCUCUGUCUCUGCAAUUCCACAGGGACACUGUACUUUGUUUGAGAUCUAGACAGCGACUUCAGACAGAAAGUUGAACUCACAUAUGUUUCCCUUCUCACAGUGACCAGAGAUCUGUUUUCCCUGAUGGCCAAUGUUUGAAAACAGAUGUUUCAUAUAUUUGGUCAUUUUCUAAUUAUUUAUGAUGAGAGGUUAAGUCCAAGCCCAACUAUUCUGUGAUGGAAAGAGGAAAGUUCUGUAUUUAAACACUGACAUUUAAUUUCACCAUACUAAGAAACUGAUUUCAUAAUUUAAAUGAUCAAUUUAAAAAGCUAACAUUUAUCUAAUGGGUUUAUGACAAGAACAUUAUAACAUGUGUAUUUUUCAAAAUUUUUAUGGUAAAUAUUUGACCUAACUCAUUUCCUCUACUUUUCCUAGCUCCUCGGCCAAUUCACAGGUAUACAAAUAGCUUCCAUUCAACAAAUUUCAUGGGACUUCAAAAUACCCGGAAUACAUUGUAGUCUCUCUCCCUUUUUCUUUCAACAGUGUUUAUUCAAUAAAGUUUUACUGAGUCA